GCCUGGGUGGCUCAACGGUUGAGCAUCUGCCUUCCACUCAGGGUGUGAUCCCGGAAUUUUGGGAUUGAGUCCCACAUCAGGCU
rnacentral:tRNA from 1 species